rnacentral:rRNA from 1 species
GACGAACGCUGGCGGCGUGCCUAAUACAUGCAAGUUGAGCGCUGAAGGUUGGUACUUGUACCAACUGGAUGAGCAGCGAACGGGUGAGUAACGCGUGGGGAAUCCGCCUUUGAGCGGGGGACAACAUUUGGAAACGAAUGCUAAUACCGCAUAAAAACUUUAAACACAAGUUUUAAGUUUGAAAGAUGCAAUUGCAUCACUCAAAGAUGAUCCCGCGUUGUAUUAGCUAGUUGGUGAGGUAAAGGCUCACCAAGGCGAUGAUACAUAGCCGACCUGAGAGGGUGAUCGGCCACAUUGGGACUGAGACACGGCCCAAACUCCUACGGGAGGCAGCAGUUGGGAAUCUUCGGCAAUGGACGAAAGUCUGACCGAGCAACGCCGCGUGAGUGAAGAAGGUUUUCGGAUCGUAAAACUCUGUUGGUAGAGAAGAACGUUGGUGAGAGUGGAAAGCUCAUCAAGUGACGGUAACUACCCAGAAAGGGACGGCUAACUACGUG